rnacentral:misc_RNA from 1 species
GAGAGAGAGAGAGAGAAGAAAAAAGGAACGAAGGAAGAUGAGUUUGAGGUGGUUAGAAGCUGUUCUUCCACUAGGAAUCAUAGCUGGUUUUCUUUGCGUAAUGGGUAAUGCUCAGUAUUUCAUCCACAAAGCUGCUCAUGGCAGGCCGAAGCACAUUGGGAAUGACAUGUGGGAUGUAGCAAUGGAAAGGAGGGACAAGAAAAUGAUGGAGAUGCUUGCUUCUCCUUCUUCUUCUUCGUCUUAGUCGUUGUGUGGAAACCUGCGUUUGGGAAUAAAAUGGUCUUUUGAGGCUCGAGAUCAUGUGCAAAAUACUUCAAUAUCGUCUUUCUUCCUUCUCCUGUUGCUGGUUUUCCAUAGCCUAUGAGCUUUAUAACAAUGAGACAUUUGUGAAAUGCUUCUUUGUUGAAUCUGGUGCAGUUGUUGGUUUCUGUUUAAACUUUUGUGGAAUUUUCACUAGUAUUCAUCGACUCUCUACUUGUAAACAGACUGGAAUUUCUCUGUACUGAAAUCCUAGAUAUGUUCCUAAUAGAACAAGGGCUUUCGUUUU